GCUAUACCUCUAUUUGGUCUUCCACUUGUGUUUUGAAAGGGGCUAACAGCUAAAGGACCUAUAUUGAUGAUGAAAGUAUCGAGGAGCAUAGAGGUAAUGAUGAAAAGGAUGGGAAGCAAGGCAUUACUCUGGAGAGAGAGGCAGAUGCUUAGGAUCUUUCCUAACUAGAACAGUUAUGUUUAUG